UACAGAGGUGGCAAGCGUUGUUCGGAAUUACUGGGCGUAAAGGGCGCGUAGGCGGCCCGUCAAGUCCCGUGUGAAAGCCCCCGGCUCAACCGGGGAACGGCGCGGGAAACUAGCAGGCUUGAGUUCGGGAGAGGGAAGCGGAAUUCCGGGUGUAGCGGUGAAAUGCGUAGAUAUCGGGAGGAACACCAGUGGCGAAGGCGACUUCCUGGCCUGUUCUUGACGCUGAGGCGCGAAAGCUAGGGGAGCAAACGGG
rnacentral:rRNA from 1 species